rnacentral:rRNA from 1 species
AUUGAACGCUGGCGGCAUGCUUUACACAUGCAAGUCGAACGGUAACAGGCCGCAAGGUGCUGACGAGUGGCGAACGGGUGCGUAAUGCAUCGGAACGUGCCCAGUCGUGGGGGAUAACUACUCGAAAGAGUAGCUAAUACCGCAUACGAUCUAUGGAUGAAAGCGGGGGACCGUAAGGCCUCGCGCGAUUGGUGCGGCCGAUGUCAGAUUAGGUAGUUGGUGGGGUAAAGGCUCACCAAGCCAACGAUCUGUAGCUGGUCUGAGAGGACGACCAGCCACACUGGAACUGAGACACGGCCCAGACUCCUACGGGAGGCAGCAGUGGGGAAUUUUGGACAAUGGGCGCAAGCCUGAUCCAGCAAUGUCGCGUGCAGGAAGAAGGCCUUCGGGUUGUAAACUGCUUUUGUUCGGAACGAAACGGCUCUGGUUAAUACCCGGGGCUAAUGACGGUACCGUAAGAAUAAGCACCGGCUAACUACGUG